CAGCCGCCGCGGGAACACGAACCGUGCGAACGUUAUUCGGAAUCACUGGGCGUAAAGCGUGCGUAGGUGGUGGUUUAAGUCCGUUGUGAAAGCCCUGGGCUCAACCUGGGAAUUGCAGUGAAUACUGGGUCACUAGAGUGUGGUAGAGGAUAGUGGAAUUUCCGGUGUAGCGGUGAAAUGCGUAGAGAUCGGAAGGAACAUCUGUGGCGAAGGCGACUAUCUGGGCCAACACUGACACUGAGGCACGAAAGCGUGGGGAGCAAACAGGAUUAGAUACCCGGGUAGUCCCUGUCUCUUAUAC
rnacentral:rRNA from 1 species